AUUGAACGCUGGCGGCAUGCUUUACACAUGCAAGUCGAACGGUAACAGGGUGCUUGCACCGCUGACGAGUGGCGAACGGGUGAGUAAUGCGUCGGAACGUGCCGAGUAGUGGGGGAUAACGCAUCGAAAGGUGUGCUAAUACCGCAUACGUACUGAGGUAGAAAGUGGGGGACCUUCGGGCCUCACGCUAUUCGAGCGGCCGACGUCUGAUUAGCUAGUUGGUGAGGUAAAGGCUCACCAAGGCGACGAUCAGUAGCGGGUCUGAGAGGAUGAUCCGCCACACUGGGACUGAGACACGGCCCGGACUCCGACGGGAGGCAGCAGUGGGGAAUUUUGGACAAUGGGCGCAAGCCUGAUCCAGCCAUGCCGCGUGUCUGAAGAAGGCCUUCGGGUUGUAAAGGACUUUUGUCCGGGAGCAAAUACCCAGUGCUAAUAAUACUGGGGGCUGAGAGUACCGGAAGAAUAAGCACCGGCUAACUACGUGCCAGCCGCCGCGGUAACAC
rnacentral:rRNA from 1 species